rfam:Camelus ferus unplaced genomic scaffold scaffold245, whole genome shotgun sequence.
GGAGGGUACAGCUCAGUGGUAGAGCACAUGCCUAGCAGGCAUGAGGUCCUAGGUUUAAUCCCCAGCACCUCCA